UACGUAGGGACCGAGCGUUGUCCGGAUUCAUUGGGCGUAAAGAGCUCGUAGGCGGCUAUUCAAGUCGAACGUGAAAUCUCGGAGCUCAACUCCGAAACUGCGUUCGAUACUGGGUAGCUAGAGUCUGGUAGGGGGAUCUGGAAUUCCUGGUGUAGCGGUGGAAUGCGCAGACAUCAGGAGGAACACCGGUGGCGAAGGCGGGAUCCUGGGCCAGUACUGACGCUGAGGAGCGAAAGCGUGGGGAGCAAACAGG
rnacentral:rRNA from 1 species